UACGGAGGAUGCAAGCGUUAUCCGGAAUUACUGGGCGUAAAGGGCGCGUAGGCGGUCCUGAUCGUCGGAUGUGAAAGCCCCCGGCUCAACUGGGGAGGGUCAUUCGAUACUGAUCGACUCGAAGGCAGGAGAGGGAAGUGGAAUUCCCGGUGUAGUGGUGAAAUGCGUAGAUAUCGGGAGGAACACCAGUGGCGAAGGCGACUUCCUGGCCUGUUCUUGACGCUGAGGCGCGAAAGCUAGGGGAGCAAACGGG
rnacentral:rRNA from 1 species